UACGUAGGGUGCAAGCGUUGUCCGGAAUUAUUGGGCGUAAAGGGCUCGUAGGCGGUUUGUCGCGUCGGGAGUGAAAACACACAGCUUAACUGUGUGCUUGCUUCCGAUACGGGCAGACUAGAGGUAUGCAGGGGAGAACGGAAUUCCUGGUGUAGCGGUGAAAUGCGCAGAUAUCAGGAAGAACACCGGUGGCGAAGGCGGCUCUCUGGGCCUUACCUGACGCUGAGGAGCGAAAGCGUGGGUAGCGAACAGG
rnacentral:rRNA from 1 species